rnacentral:rRNA from 1 species
GACGAACGCUGGCGGCGUGCCUAAUACAUGCAAGUUGAGCGCUGGAGGGUGGUGCUUGUACCAACUGGGUUAGCAGCGGACGGGUGAGUAACGCGUGGGUAAUCUGCCUUUGAGCGGGGGACAACAUUGGGAAACGAAUGCUAAUACCGCAUAAUAACUUUAAACACAAGGUUUAAGUUUGAAAGAUGCAAUUGCAUCACUCAAAGGUGAUCCCGGGUUUUAUUAGCUAGUUGGGAAGGGAAAGGCUUACCAAGGCAAGAUAACAUAGCCGACCUGAAAGGGGGAUCGCCAACAUGGGACUGGGGAAACGCUCCAAACUCCUACGGGAGGAGGCGUAAGGGAUCCUCGGCAAUGGACGGAAGGCCGAACGAGGCACGCCGCCUGAGGGGAGGAGGUUCUCGGAUCGUAAAACUCUGUUUGUUGGGGAGAAAGAUGGUGGGAGUUGACAGCGCAUAAAGUGACGGUAACUAAUCAGAAAGGGACGGCUAACUACGUG